UUCUUCCUGCUUUUUAAUUCUGUAGUGAAGAAAACGAAACCAAUCAAGAUCCCUAGACAAUAAUAUGUUUGGGAACUUCAUCUAGGAUUUCUUCUGAGGACCACACACUCAUCAAGAGGAAACCCAAAGGCUAACUUCUGAACUUAGACUGACUAAUGAGAAACUUCUUGAGCUCUUGGCCAAAUCAAGUCUUCUCCUCAACGUGGACCUUGCAGGAAAAUGAAGAGGAUUCUUUGGAUGGGGGCAGCGGGCAAGCCAUGGCAUGUUUGUGGACAGCAGAGGACAACUCUUGGCAGUCAGUUCUUUCCUUCCACCAUAUGGAUCCUGGGAUUUGAACGCAGAUCAUCAGGCUUGGUGGCAAGUGCCUUUAUCCACUGAAAUAUCUUGCCAGCAUAUAAAAGUGUUUUCAAAAAUAGCUUUCCUCUAAAAGGAAGUAUGAAGAAAGAAUAAUCUUACUCAUGAUAACAUUCAACAUAUCUAAAAUAUCAUACCUAGCUUUAAAAAAAAAAUGUGUGCCAGGAAGAAAACAGCAAACUUCAAAGAUAC